AUAUCUGGCAUCGCUGUGUCCCAUCUUCGUCUCCUCGUCGCUUACACCCAGGUAGAGUUACAGGCACGCGCCCGAACACGCAGACCGGCGCCCCCGAGUCUCCAGCGGUCUCUAAGUCUCCCGUUGUCUCUCCGUCUGCCUCUUGUCUUACCGCCUUGCAGCCAAACCACCUCCUCUUUGUCCCUCGUGGGCUCCUCACCGCUGGUAUCGCCUCCUGCUCGUGUGUGUUCUUCGUCCCGCUUCUCUACGUGAACGAUCGACUCGAGGGCCUCGCCACCCCCCCCAACCUUUUCGCAUCACCUAUCCGAGAUGGCGUCGCUCAUCCCCACUCUGGCUGAGCAGGACCCGGAGCUGGCGAACAUGAUCGAACUUGAGAUGAGCCGUCAGUUCCGCGGUUUGGAGAUGAUCGCCUCGGAGAACCUGACGUCCAAGGCGGUGCUGGAGUGCCUCGGUUCUGCCCUGACGAACAAGUACGCUGAGGGCGAGCCUGGCAACCGCUACUAUGGCGGUACUGUGUUCGUUGACAUGGUCGAAAACCUCGCCAAGAAGCGUGCCCUGGCCGCCUUCGGCCUCGACCCCGGAGAGUGGGGGGUCAAUGUGCAGCCCUACAGUGGGUCACCGGCAAACUUCGCCGUCUACACUGCGCUGCUGGAGCCGCACAGCCGCAUCAUGGGCCUUGACCUGCCCAGCGGCGGCCACCUCACACAUGGCUUCUACACGCCAAAGAAGAAGGUGAGCGCGACGUCUAUCUACUUUGAGUCCUUUCCAUACCAUGUCAAGGAGGACGGCCUGAUCGACUACGACGCUCUCGAGUCCGUCGCGCUGGUGUUCCGACCUAAGAUGAUCAUCACCGGUGCCUCAGCCUACGCGCGUGACUUCGACUACGAGCGGUUCCGUCACAUCUGCGACGAGGUGGGCAGUCUUCUGUUCAUGGACAUGGCCCACACGGCCGGUUUAAUUGCCGGUGGCGUGCUCAAGUCGCCGUUCGGGUAUGCAGACGUGGUGACGACGACGACUCACAAGUCCCUGCGCGGGCCGCGUGCUGGCAUGAUCUUCUAUCGCAAAAAAGAUCGCCAGGGCAAGCCUACGGACCACGAGAGCCGCAUCAAUCAGGCAGUCUUCCCUGGCUGCCAGGGCGGUCCGCACGAGCACCAAAUCGCCGCUAUCGCCACACAGAUGCGGGAGGUGUGCAGCCCGGAGUGGAAAGCAUACGCCAUGCAAGUGCAGAGCAACGCCCGCGCAUUGGCAGCCGCGCUAAGCUCCAAGGGCCACGUGUUCGUUUCCGGUGGCACGGACAACCACCUGCUGCUGUGGAACGUGCGGGUGCACGGCCUGACCGGUAGCAAGGUGGAGAAGCUACUCGACGCCGUCUCCAUCUCCGUCAACAAGAACACUAUCCCUGGCGACAAGAGUGCCAUGACGCCGGGCGGCAUUCGCGUUGGCACUCUGGCGCUGACCUCUCGCGGCAUGGUGGAAGCAGACAUGAGCACCGUCGCCGAGUUCCUCGACCGCGCCAUUGUGCUGGCCAAGCAAAUCCAGGCAGCGAUGAACGCGAUGAAGCUGAGUGACUUUGUCGCGGCGCUGCAGACGCACGCGGGCGUGGCCGCCCUCCGCAAGGAUGUGGAGGCGUUCGCGACGACCUUUGCGAUGCCCUCCUUUGAUGUGGAGCGUAUCAAGUACAAGGACAGUCUGCCCGAAGAGCGUUGACGGAGCCCUGCAAGAAACUUUAAGAGGGACUGUGAUCUGUAUGCGUGGCUGUAUACGUGUUUAGACUUGUGUUGCAUAUGCGCUGUCUGCCAAGGAAGCGGGAGGAGCGGGCAUAAGAGAGGGGGUGGAACAUGAUAGGAAGAGCUGCGGUGGCUGCAUCGGAAGUGAUGAGUGCGGCUGCAGAACCGCCGGUUUCUGUCGCUCUGCUUCGAAAAGAUGUAUCGUCGCCUCGAAAGUUCCGUCGGUAGCGAGCCACGUGGCGGGGACGUGCCUUUGGCAUCCUCUUGUAGCGCGCGUGUCGACUUCGCAAUCCCCCCAUAGCCCCGGAUACCCCUGCGACGUAGCACGGCCACUUCAACCGGCGUUCCUGCACCACACGCCGGGUGUUCAACAACACGUCUGUGCAGGCCCUUAUCGCCCGCACGUUUUGUUUUCUUGCUUUGAUUCGUUUUUAUUUUUAGCUCUUGAGUUCAGGAGUCAAGCGGCUGGUGAGUCGUUUCAGGCGUACAUGCGCACACCCACGCAUGCAGCGUAUACCCAUGUCUACUGGGUGACGGGCAGCGGCUGAGACAGACUUCUCUUUGGGCAGGGUGAUGCAGUGCGAGGAGGAGGAGAAGCGAAGAGGGCGAAGAUACACGGCGAAGCAAACGAAGUCAGGAACGAGGCGCGCAGGUUAAGAAUCUCUUGUGGUAACACAGUUGAACCAUAACCUGGCUCUUGAUGUGAGUUGUGCAAGCAUAUCUUCUCGCCUCUCUCCCCCUCGAGCCUCCCGCUCUACACCAAACUCCCUCUUGCUCCACUGGUGCGCGUCUCUGCAACCGCAUCCAUGCACCUUCUUCUCUGUUGUGCAUUCACGCACAUAUACGUGCACACCUCUCUCUCUAUAUAUUGUCACCCUCUGUUUUGUCUUUGUCCUUUUCUGUGUGUCUCCGUCUAUCGGCCUGUCGGUCGGUCGGCCGGUCGGUGUGUGUGCGUGUGCCCUGCGCCGCCACCCUCCUUUUUCGUUGUGUGCUGUGCUUUCCUUUGAUCUCCUUCUAUCGUCCGUGUUCUGCGCGGGUUUCUUCGCAACUGUGCGCGGGGGUGGGUGCAGCGGUAAGGCGGAGGGUGACGGCCGGCAGGUUUGAGAGAGAAAAGGCUAUCCUGAAUAGAUGAGGUGGCGCGGAGGUCCACCGGCGCCCUUCUCUCUGCCCUCUUCCUUUUUUCUCCUCAGGUUACAACGGCCGUGCCGCCUGCUCCUACCGCGGUCAACGUCUGCGGAUGUGGAUUUGCCUUUUCACGCAAACAGGCCGAGGGGGAAGACACCCUUCCAUACGCGCGCACCUGUCAGGCGCGUGCGCAGGCCAGCGGUCCUUCUGCCUUUUACGACCACAGCAGACAUGCAGGGCGCAGCUGUCUUUACCGCAAGAAUAUGCAGACACUGGCAAAGUAGAGCGGAGAGCAGGUGCACUUCGUUCUCCUCCUCGGCUCGCUAGUGAUAGUGCGGAAGGCGAGAUGUGUUGCUAUAAACCGAGAGGGUUUUGCGGGUUCGAUGCCCAUGCGCUCCCGAUGCCGCCUUCGAUUGAUUGUUAUUUGAACCUGCCCACUCGCGGCCAUGCAGCGCGCGCUCAGACUCUACUCGGCCUCCCUCCCCCUCCCCCCGCACCGUCACAGGCCCCCAUCGCGUGGUGCGAAGCAGCGAGGGGGGGCACGUGCUCCAGCAGCGCGCCGACUCGGUCACCUGAGCACGGCCCCUGCGUCACCUUCUACGCACCACACGCCUCGCACGUCUCCUCACAGCCGCUCUCCCCACCCCGCCACCCCAUUGUGGCGAUCGCCACGUGGUGCAUCCUCGUCGGGGUGGCCCAGGCGCCCCACCACCAGUGGGCCGUGUGGGGGGCCCGGUGAGAUGCGUUCCCGUCACGCCGGCACUCUGCCCGCCACAUGGAUGGCACAAGCGUGCCCACCGUGACAGGCCGCUCCGACGCGGCGCCAUCCAGGACCUCACCGCCGACAUCGGCAGCGGUGAGUCGCUCUCACCGCACCCUACGCUGUAGGCGCCUCACCCUGCCACCACCAGAAGCGGCGGCUCGGCAUUGGCAGGGGCAAAAAGGGCCGCGGGGGCUGCCUGGCCUGCUCUCGCACAGCGUGGGGAGUGGGCCCUGGAUGCCACGCACCGAGGUGCGCCCCUUCCCCCUCACACUGCAUCGUCAUCGGGUUGCCGACGACGAUGCAGGAAGGGCUGAAGAGCGCGAUAAUGGCGGCGUGCCGUUCUUGCAUGCUGGUUCUCUGCCAUGUCGAACGUAGUCAGUGCAGCGUUAGCGCGUGCCUCCCUUACAUCUCUUGCUCCUCUCGCUUCUCCUCUACCCAACAAAUGUGGGGGCGUGUGCUCGGCUGAUCUGUUAUGCCCUUGCUAGCUGCCAUGCUGCAGUGUGCUUCACCGUUGAUGGUUCUGGUAAUCGCUCAGCUCUGCGUCCCUUUUCUUGCUGUACGUUGACCACCGCUCUCCGCGCGGAG
rnacentral:misc_RNA from 1 species